rnacentral:rRNA from 1 species
CACGUAGGGGGCGAGCGUUGUCCGGAUUUAUUGGGCGUAAAGAGCUCGUAGGCGGCUCGGUAAGUCAGGUGUGAAAACUCUAGGCUCAACCUAGAGACGCCACCUGAUACUGCUGUGGCUAGAGUCCGGUAGGGGAGCAUGGAAUUCCUGGUGUAGCGGUGAAAUGCGCAGAUAUCAGGAGGAACACCAGUGGCGAAGGCGGUGCUCUGGGCCGGAACUGACGCUGAGGAGCGAAAGCGUGGGGAGCGAACAGG